UACGAAGGGGGCUAGCGUUGCUCGGAAUCACUGGGCGUAAAGGGUGCGUAGGCGGGGCUUUACGUCAGGGGUGAAAUCCUGGAGCUCAACUCCAGAACUGCCUUUGAUACUGAAGAUCUUGAGUUCGGGAGAGGUGAGUGGAACUGCGAGUGUAGAGGUGAAAUUCGUAGAUAUUCGCAAGAACACCAGUGGCGAAGGCGGCUCACUGGCCCGAUACUGACGCUGAGGCACGAAAGCGUGGGGAGCAAACAGG
rnacentral:rRNA from 1 species